GACGAACGCUGGCGGCGUGCUUAACACAUGCAAGUCGAACGGGAUAAUUUGAGAGCUUGCUCUUAGAGAAUCUAGUGGCAAACGGGUGAGUAACACGUAGACAACCUGCCGACAGGAUGGGGACAACAUUCCGAAAGGAAUGCUAAUACCGAAUGAAGCGGAGGAGAGGCAUCUCUCCUCCGUGAAAGAUGGCCUCUGAAUAUGCUAUCACCUGUCGAUGGGUCUGCGUCUGAUUAGCUAGUUGGUGAGGUAACGGCUCACCAAGGCGACGAUCAGUAGCCGGUCUGAGAGGAUGAACGGCCACAUUGGGACUGAGACACGGCCCAGACUCCUACGGGAGGCAGCAGUGGGGAAUCUUCCGCAAGGGGCGCAAGCCUGACGGAGCAACGCCGCGUGAGUGAAGAAGGUCGUCGGAUCGUAAAGCUCUGUUGACGGGGACGAACGUGCGAAGGGUGAAUAAUCCUUUGUAAUGACGGUACCUGUCGAGGAAGCCACGGCUAACUACGUG
rnacentral:rRNA from 1 species